ACAGAGGCGUGUGACUGGCGGAUCGUGGAGUCAACCACAGGGAGCGCGCCGUGGAUAAGAGCCGACCGCCUGGGCACGCAGU
rfam:Clostridium asparagiforme DSM 15981 genomic scaffold Scfld6, whole genome shotgun sequence.